UACGUAGGGUGCGAGCGUUGUCCGGAUUUAUUGGGCGUAAAGGGCUCGUAGGCGGCUUGUCGCGUCGGGAGUGAAAGCCCGCUGCUUAACGGCGGGUUUGCUUUCGGUACGGGCAGGCUGGAGUGCGGCAGGGGAGACUGGAAUUCCUGGUGUAGCGGUGGAAUGCGCAGAUAUCAGGAGGAACACCGGUGGCGAAGGCGGGUCUCUGGGCCGUUACUGACGCUGAGGAGCGAAAGCGUGGGGAGCGAACAGG
rnacentral:rRNA from 1 species